GUUUGUAAUUGUAAAUGUAAACGUAAUGUCACUUAUUUGUAACUUGUAUGUCUCCAAGAAGACUCCAGUUUACGGCAGGCAGGGCCUUUCAUUUAUUCUCUUCUGUACAUUGUGUGAUCAAGAACCGUGAUUUUAAUCCUAGAGUCUUCAAUAUGCUUAGGGUUUUUUUUUAUUUGUUUUGUUGUUUUUUUUGCAAAGUAGGGGAUGUGAGUUCUUUGAGGUUUUAUGGACCCUUUAAGUAGUGAAAU